rnacentral:tRNA from 1 species
UAAUAAGAUGGCAGAUUAGUGCAUCAGAUUUAAACCCUGAUUAUGUUUAUAAACUCUUAUUA